UACGUAGGCAGCGAGCGUUGUUCGGAAUUACUGGGCGUAAAGAGUGUGUAGGCGGUGUUCCCAGUCUGUUGUGAAAUCUCCCGGCUCAACUGGGAGGGUGCGCCGAAUACUGAAUGACUAGAGUGCGGGAGAGGAGAGUGGAAUUCCUGGUGUAGCGGUGAAAUGCGUAGAUAUCAUUUGGAACGCCAAUGGUGAAAACAGGUCGCUGGGAGUGUGCUGACGCUGAGACACGAAAGCCAGGGGAGCAAACGGG
rnacentral:rRNA from 1 species